AUAACGAACGAGACCUUAGCCUGCUAAAUAGGAUCGGGAACCUCGGUUCUCGCAUCACUUCUUAGAGGGACUUUGCGUGUCUAACGCAAGGGAGUUUGAGGCAAUAACAGGUCUGUGAUGCCCUUAGAUGUUCUGGGCUGCACGCGCGCUACACUGAUGCAUGCAACGAGUUUUUGACCUUGGCCGGAAGGUCUAGGUAAUCUUUUGAGUAUGCAUCGUGAUGGGGAUAGAUUAUUGCAAUUAUUAAUCUUCAACGAGGAAUGCCUAGUAGGCGCAAGUCAGCAGCUUGUGCCGAUUACGUCCCUGCCCUUUGUACACACCGCCCGUCGCUGCAACCGAUCGAAGGGUCCUGUGAACUCGAUGGACAGCCCAUCCCCUUCUUGGGGUUGGGCUGGAAGUUGCGUAAAUAGAGCCCUUUAAAGGAUGCAAAAGUCGUAACACGGUUUCCGUAGGUGAACCUGCGGAAGGAUCAUUC
rnacentral:rRNA from 1 species